GUGAAAGCCUUCGGCUUAACCGAAGAAGUGCAUCGGAAACCGGGCGACUUGAGUGCAGAAGAGGACAGUGGAACUCCAUGUGUAGCGGUGGAAUGCGUAGAUAUAUGGAAGAACACCAGUGGCGAAGGCGGCUGUCUGGUCUGCAACUGACGCUGAGGCUCGAAAGCAUGGGUAGCGAACAGGAUUAGAUACCCUGGUAGUCCAUGCCGUAAACGAUGAGUGCUAGGUGUUGGAGGGUUUCCGCCCUUCAGUGCCGGAGCUAACGCAUUAAGCACUCCGCCUGGGGAGUACGACCGCAAGGUUGAAACUCAAAGGAAUUGACGGGGGCCCGCACAAGCGGUGGAGCAUGUGGUUUAAUUCGAAGCUACGCGAAGAACCUUACCAGGUCUUGACAUCUUGCGCUAACCUUAGAGAUAAGGCGUUCCCUUCGGGGACGCAAUGACAGGUGGUGCAUGGUCGUCGUCAGCUCGUGUCGUGAGAUGUUGGGUUAAGUCCCGCAACGAGCGCAACCCUUGUUACUAGUUGCCAGCAUUGAGUUGGGCACUCUAGUGAGACUGCCGGUGACAAACCGGAGGAAGGUGGGGACGACGUCAGAUCAUCAUGCCCCUUAUGACCUGGGCUACACACGUGCUACAAUGGACGGUACAACGAGUUGCAAACUCGCGAGAGCAAGCUAAUCUCUUAAAGCCGUUCUCAGUUCGGACUGUAGGCUGCAACUCGCCUACACGAAGUCGGAAUCGCUAGUAAUCGCGGAUCAGCAUGCCGCGGUGAAUACGUUCCCGGGCCUUGUACACACCGCCCGUCACACCAUGGGAGUUUGUAACGCCCAAAGUCGGCGU
rnacentral:rRNA from 1 species